GGANUUGGGCAAUGGNGGCAACCUCUGACCCAGCCAUGCCGCGUGCAGUGAAGACUGCCCUAUGGGUUGUAAACUGCUUUUAUACAGGAAGAAACACACCUACGUGUACGUGCUUGACGGUACUGUAAGAAUAAGCACCGGCUAACUCCGUGCCAGCAGCCGCGGUAAUA
rnacentral:rRNA from 1 species